CACGUAGGGCGCAAGCGUUUGUCCGGAAUUAUUGGGCGUAAAGAGCUCGUAGGCGGUCUGUUACGUCCGCUGUGAAAACUCGGGGCUUAACCCCGAGCCUGCAGUGGAUACGGGCAGACUAGAGGUAGGUAGGGGAGAAUGGAAUUCCCGGUGUAGCGGUGAAAUGCGCAGAUAUCGGGAGGAACACCGGUGGCGAAAGCGGCUCACUGGACCAUAACUGACGCUGAGGCGCGAAAGCUAGGGGAGCAAACAGG
rnacentral:rRNA from 1 species